CUCGAAGGCGACCAGCUGACCGUCGCCGGUCGCUGACACGAACAAAAAGGAGGAGACGGCUGUGAAGAAUGCAACGUUCGGAAAAAUCGAG
rnacentral:tRNA from 1 species